rnacentral:rRNA from 1 species
UUCCCUCCAUACGCGGGAAAAGAACCAACCGGGAUUGCCCUUGGAACGGCGAGUGAAGCGGCAACAGCUCAAAUUUGAAAUCUGGCGUCUUCGGCGUCCGAGUUGUAAUUUGCAGAGGGCGCUUUGGCAUUGGCAGCGGUCCAAGUUCCUUGGAACAGGACGUCACAGAGGGUGAGAAUCCCGUACGUGGUCGCUAGCCUUUACCGUGUAAAGCCCCUUCGACGAGUCGAGUUGUUUGGGAAUGCAGCUCUAAAUGGGAGGUAAAUUUCUUCUAAAGCUAAAUACUGGCCAGAGACCGAUAGCGCACAAGUAGAGUGAUCGAAAGAUGAAAAGCACUUUGGAAAGAGAGUUAAAAAGCACGUGAAAUUGUUGAAAGGGAAGCGCUUGCAGCCAGACUUGCCUGUAGUUGCUCAUCCGGGUUUCUACCCGGUGCACUCUUCUACGGGCAGGCCAGCAUCAGUUUGGGCGGUUGGAUAAAGGUCUCUGUCAUGUACCUCCUUUCGGGGAGAACUUAUAGGGGAGACGACAUGCAACCAGCCCGGACUGAGGUCCGCGCAUCUGCUAGGAUGCUGGCGUAAUGGCUGUAAGCGGCCCGUCUUGAAACACGGACCAAGGAGUCUAACAUCUAUGCGAGUGUUUUGGGUGUCAAGCCCGAACGCGUAAUGAAAGUGAACGGAGGUGGGAACCUUUCGGGGUGCACCAUCGACCGAUCCUGAUGUCUUCGGAUGGAUUUGAGUAARAGCAUAGCUGUUGGGACCCGAAAGAUGGUGAACUAUGCUUGAAUAGGGUGAAGCCAGAGGAAACUCUGGUGGAGGYUCGCAGCGGUUCUGACGUGCAAAUCGAUCGUCAAAUUUGGGCAUAGGGGCGAAAGACUAAUCGAACUAUCUAGUAGCUGGUYCCUGCCGAAGUUUCCCUCAGGAUAGCAGUAACGUUUUCAGUUUUAUGAGGUAAAGCGAAUGAUUARAGGCCUGGGGGUUGAAACAACCUUCACCUAUUCUCAAACUUUAAAUAUGUAAGAAGUCCUUGUUACUUGAUUGAACGUGGACAGUUGAAUGUAUCGUUACUAGUGGGCCAUUUUUGGUAAGCAGAACUGGCGAUGCGGGAUGAACCGAACGCGGGGUUAAGGUGCCAGAAUGCACGCUCAUCAGACACCACAAAAGGUGUUAGUUCAUCUAGACAGCAGGACGGUGGCCAUGGAAGUCGGAAUCCGCUAAGGAGUGUGUAACAACUCACCUGCCGAAUGAACUAGCCCUGAAAAUGGAUGGCGCUCAAGCGUGUUACCCAUACCCCGCCGCUGGGGCAAGAUUUAAGCCCCAGCGAGUAGGCAGGCGUGGAGGUCCGUGACGAAGC